rnacentral:rRNA from 1 species
GGCGGCCGUAACUAUAACGGUCCUAAGGUAGCGAAAUUCCUUGUCGGGUAAGUUCCGACCUGCACGAAUGGCGUAACGACUUGGGCGCUGUCUCAACCAUAGACUCGGCGAAAUUGUAUUAUUCGUGAAGAUGCGAAUUACCCGCGGUAGGACGGAAAGACCCCGUGAACCUUUACUACAGCUUGACAUUGAUCUUCGGUUUGUCGCGUAGAGGAUAGGUGGGAGGCUUUGAAGCUGGGGCGCCAGCCCUGGUGGAGCCAACCUUGGAAUACCACCCUCGGCAGGCUGGAGGUCUAACCCCGCACCGUGAAUCCGGGUGGGGGACCGUGUCAGGUGGGUAGUUUGACUGGGGCGGUCGCCUCCUAAAAAGUAACGGAGGCGCGCGUAAGGUCCGCUCAGAACGGUUGGCAAUCGUUCGUAGAGUGCAAGAGCAUAAGCGGGCUUGACUGCGAGACCUACAAGUCGAGCAGAUAGGAAACUAGGCUCUAGUGAUCCGGCGGCUCAGAGUGGAAUGGCCGUCGCUCAACGGAUAAAAGGUACUCCGGGGAUAACAGGCUGAUCUUCCCCAAGAGUCCACAUCGACGGGAAGGUUUGGCACCUCGAUGUCGGCUCAUCGCAUCCUGGGGCUGUAGUAGGUCCCAAGGGUUAGGCUGUUCGCCUAUUAAAGCGGUACGCGAGCUGGGUUUAGAACGUCGUGAGACAGUUCGGUCCCUAUCCACCGUGGGCGCAAGAGACUUGAGAGAGGCUGUCCCUAGUACGAGAGGACCGGGAUGGACGAACCUCUGGUGUACCAGUUGUCACGCCAGUGGCACCGCUGGUUAGCUACGUUCGGUAUGGAUAACCGCUGAAAGCAUCUAAGCGGGAAGCCAGUCUCAAGAUGAGGUCUCUCACCGGGUUAACCGGGUAAGGCCCCUCGUAGACUACGAGGUUGAUAGGCUGCAGGUGUACGCACAGUAAUGUGUUCAGCCGAGCAGUACUAAUAGGCCGAGGUCUUGAUCUU